rnacentral:rRNA from 1 species
GGGGACUCCCGCGCAGCUCUGCCGCGGUUGGAUAGAACCCUUGCCACUUUUCGAGUACCUUUCGUUUCCUCGGCGGGCUCGCCCGCCACUGGGGACACACCAAAAACCUUUUGCAAUUGCAGUAAAUCGUCUGAUAAACAAAGCAAAUCUAUUAAAACUUUCAACAACGGAUCUCUUGGUUCUGGCAUCGAUGAAGAACGCAGCGAAAUGCGAUAAGUAGUGUGAAUUGCAGAAUUCAGUGAAUCAUCGAAUCUUUGAACGCACAUUGCGCCCUUUGGUAUUCCUUAGGGCAUGCCUGUUCGAGCGUCAUUUCCACCUUCAAGCUUAGCUUGGUGUUGGGUGAUUGUCCCGCCGCUCGCGCGCGGACUCGCCUCAAAAGCAUUGGCAGCCGGUACGUUGGCUUCGAGCGCAGCAGAUUAGCGUCUCGUGCCUGGCGGAUCGGUUCUCCAACAAGCCAAACCCCCCCAAUUUUGACCUCGGAUCAGGUAGGGAUACCCGCUGAACUUAAGCAUAUCAAUAAGGCGGAGGAAUUUCAAGGGCGGCUCUGCCGCGGUUGGAAUUAGAACCUUGCUACUUUUGAGUCCUUUCGUUCCCCGGCGGGCUCCCCACUGGAGACCACCAAAAACUUUUGCAUUGCAGUAAAUGUCGAUAAACAAAGCAAUCUAUUAAAACUUUCACACGAUCUUGGGUUCUGGCAUCAUGAGAAGCAGCAAAUGCAUAAGUAGUGUGAAAUUGCAAAAUUCAUGAAUCAUCCAUCUUUGAACGCACAUCUGCGCUUGUGGGUUAUUCUUAGGGCAUGCUGUUCAGCGUCUCUCUCAUACCCUCUUGUUGUUGGGUGAUUGGGCCCCGCGCACCACUCGGCGCCGUCGUUGCCUUCAGCCAGAAAUAAAUUCUCCUGCUGGGGGGAUGCUUUCUCACAAGCCCAUACCCCCCCGUGUUUGUUCUCGUGUGGCGGCGAUGCACCCUCACAUCUAUAUUA